rnacentral:rRNA from 1 species
AUUGAACGCUGGCGGCAGGCUUAACACAUGCAAGUCGAACGAGUGGCGGACGGGUGAGUAAUUCUUCGGAAUCUGGCUAAUGUAGGGGGAUAACUACGGGAAACUGUAGCUAAUACCGCGUACCAUAGUAUGAGCCCAAGUGGGAUUAGGUAGUUGGUUAGGUAACGGCUCACCAAGCCUACGAUCGAUAGCUGGUCUGAGAGGAUGACCAGCCACAGUGGGACUGAGACACGGCCCAGACGCCUACGGGAGGCAGCAGUGGGGAAUAUUGCGCAAUGGGGGCAACCUGACGCAGCCAUGCCGCGUGAAUGAAGAAGGCCUUCGGGUUGUAAAGUUCUUUCGGUAGAGAGGCGUUAACUGCAGAAGAAGCACCGGCUAACUACGUGCCAGCAGCCGCGGUAAUUC